rnacentral:rRNA from 1 species
AGUGAACGCUGGCGGUAGGCCUAACACAUGCAAGUCGAACGGCAGCACAGUAAGAGCUUGCUCUUACGGGUGGCGAGUGGCGGACGGGUGAGGAAUACAUCGGAAUCUACUUUUUCGUGGGGGAUAACGUAGGGAAACUUACGCUAAUACCGCAUACGACCUACGGGUGAAAGCAGGGGAUCUUCGGACCUUGCGCGAUUGAAUGAGCCGAUGUCGGAUUAGCUAGUUGGCGGGGUAAAGGCCCACCAAGGCGACGAUCCGUAGCUCGUCUGAGAGGAGGGUCGCCCACCCUGGAACUGAGCCACGGUCCAGAGUCCUACGGGAGGCAGCAGUGGGGAAUAUUGGACAACGGGCGCAAGCAUGAUCCAGCCAUACCGCGUGGGUGAAGAAGGCCUUCGGGUUGUAAAGCCCUUUUGUUGGGAAAGAAAAGCAGCAGGUUAAUACCCCGCUGUUCUGACGGUACCCAAAGAAUAAGCACCGGCUAACUUCGUG